GAUGAAGAACGUAGUGAAAUGCGAUAAGUAAUGUGAAUUGCAGAAUUCAGUGAAUCAUCGAAUCUUUGAACGCACAUUGCGCCCGCCAGUAUUCUGGCGGGCAUGCCUGUUCGAGCGUCAUUUCAACCAUCAAGCCCUGCUUGCGUUGGGGUCCUGCGGCUGCCCGCAGGCCCUGAAAACCAGUGGCGGGCUCGCUAGUCACACCGAGCGCAGUAAUACAUCUCGCUUUGGGCGUGCGGCGGGUUCUUGCCGUUAAACACCCCCUUUUUACCAAGGUUGACCUCGGAUCAGGUAGGAAUACCCGCUGAACUUAAGCAUAUCAAUAAGCGAGGA
rnacentral:misc_RNA from 1 species